rnacentral:rRNA from 1 species
AACAAUUUAAAUCCCUUAACGAGGAACAAUUGGAGGGCAAGUCUGGUGCCAGCAGCCGCGGUAAUUCCAGCUCCAAUAGCGUAUAUUAAAGUUGUUGCAGUUAAAAAGCUCGUAGUUGAACCUUGGGUCUGGCUGGCCGGUCCGCCUCACCGCGAGUACUGGUCCGGCUGGACCUUUCCUUCUGGGGAACCCCAUGGCCUUCACUGGCUGUGGGGGGAACCAGGACUUUUACUGUGAAAAAAUUAGAGUGUUCAAAGCAGGCCUUUGCUCGAAUACAUUAGCAUGGAAUAAUAGAAUAGGACGUGUGGUUCUAUUUUGUU